AUGCGAAAUGAGACAUUUCUCAAUGCGUUCCAUAUGACAAGCCUUUCAAUUCAUAAACAAUACUUAGACGACCCUUGACUAUGCAAAAUCAGAGUGUUGAAUAGUGCUCUGUGAUUGGUUCGCUUAUGUUACGCACUUCACUCCGCUAACUGACAUUCCUGUCAUUCAAACGGUGCAAUGGUUUUUAAGUGUCAUUAAUUUGUGGAUUUAUGAAUUAAAUAAAUAUGGAUAAAACUACAACUAUCAGAUCAAAAAAGCUGCCGUUUUCUUCUUCCGAAAGAGAGCUGCUGAUUGUAGAACGGCCUAUUAUUGAAGACAAGCAUACCUAUUUUAUCCUCUCUAAAAUAUCGAGUUGAAUAAGCAGGCCUGGGAAAAUCUAACAGUGACUUACAAUUCUCAACCAUAUUUAUGUUUCACAAAGGCUCACACAUCAACUGAAAACCUGCUGGAAUAAUUUAAAGACUCAAAGAAAGAAAGAACUUUCUCAGGAAUCAAUCAAACGUUCUCAACACCCACUAGUAUCAAGAAAUUAAGAUUAGUAGUAGCAAGAAUGAAGAUUAAGACAGAAUCAAGAAUCAAACGCACCACAUUGAAUAAUAUACAACAAGACCAGGCUUUGCACGAGUUGGGGCUUCAAAGAGAAAAAAAUUUGAUAGCAAGAGAAAAUAAUUUUUUAGAACAUGAAAAAAAGAUUCAUGAUUUACAAAUACAUAAAAU